UACGUAGGGGGCAAGCGUUGUCCGGAUUCAUUGGGCGUAAAGAGCGUGUAGGCGGUCCGGUAAGUCGGUUGUGAAAGUCCAGGGCUCAACCCUGGGAUGCCGACCGAUACUGUCGGACUAGAGUUCGGAAGAGGCGAGUGGAAUUCCCGGUGUAGCGGUGAAAUGCGCAGAUAUCGGGAGGAACACCUAUGGCGAAGGCAGCUCGCUGGGACGUUACUGACGCUGAGACGCGAAAGCGUGGGGAGCAAACAGG
rnacentral:rRNA from 1 species